UACGGGGGGAGCAAGCGUUGUUCGGAUUUACUGGGCGUAAAGGGCGCGUAGGCGGCCACCGCAAGUCGACUGUGAAAUCUCCGGGCUUAACCCGGAAAGGUCAGCCGAUACUGCGGGGCUAGAGUGCAGAAGGGGCAACUGGAAUUCUCGGUGUAGCGGUGAAAUGCGUAGAUAUCGAGAGGAACACCUGCGGCGAAGGCAGGUUGCUGGGCUGACACUGACGCUGAUGCGCGAAAGCUAGGGGGAGCGAACGGG
rnacentral:rRNA from 1 species